CUAAUCCAUUCAUUUUUCUCCUUCCUCCCCCUUUGUGGCGGCUGGUAGACUGAGCUGCGACGUGCAAGCAGCCGGCGCCGGCGGCAUGGGAGCAGCAUGACCCCGUCGUCCUCUGCUUUCCCAACACGAUCUUCUCCCUCCAUCUUCUCCCUUAGUCCCCAAUUCGCAUUCCCUUUCCCUUGCUGAUGGUCUCGUGCAAUCAAAUCUGCAGUGGACGGUGGCCGUGUGCGGAACAAUGGCGCCGGUGCUAAAAGGUAACAAAGCCGGCAGCCGGAUCAUGGAUAGGGGCAACACAACUGCCUAGUCCCCAGAUGCACCCAUUAACAUUGGUUAUGCCAUGCUCAACGGUGCAAUGCAUUUGUUCUUCGCUGAUGCUUGGAUAGUUGGAUGUGCCAAUAUUGUAAUUCUCCUUGUGUGUUGAUCCUCGUAUGAUUGCCUAUUCAUUUUUUUCUGUUUU
rnacentral:sRNA from 1 species